GAGGUAGAAUGACAAGAACUGCUAAUUCAUGCCACCAUAUUUAACCAUAUGGCUACCUUA
rnacentral:tRNA from 1 species